rnacentral:lncRNA from 1 species
CAACUUAGCAAACGCCGCCUUCUUCACCUCCACUUUUCCUUCGACUACAUCGUUCCACCACCAGUCACCCUGAUGUCUGCCUGAAUAACCCUUGGCUAUCCCGAGCACGUCCCGUGCUACCUCCCUAACCAAGUUCGCCGUCUCUGAACAUAUAGCAUCAAGCUUCACCAGAACUUCUCCAAGCUCCGCCCUCAGCUAACCUCCUCUCCAACUCCUGUGCUUUCUCCUUAGUCAAAAUACCCCAUCUAAUCCGCGGUUCUCCCCGAGCACCCCUCCUCUUGCUCUUCACCCAGAGACCGACAUCCAUCACUAGGAGUCUAUGGAGGGUUGAAAGGGACUCUCCCGGAAUAACCUUGCAGUCCUUGUACAUACCCCUAUCACUCCUUCUGAGGAGGAGGUAAUCAAUCUGAGUCCUCGCUGCCGAACUCUUGAAGGUGACCAAANNN